CUUCCCUCAGGAUAGCUGAUGCAUUUAAAAAUUAUGUAAAAUAAUCUUAUCUGGUAAAGCGAAUGUUUAGAGGCCUUUGGGUCGAAGCAAUCUUAACCUAUUCUCAAACUUUAAAUCGGUAGAAAUCUCACCUUUUUUGGUAGGAAGAUUGUGGUUGUGACACAAUGUACCUAGUGGGCUACUUUUGGUAAGCAGAAGUCGCGCUGUGAGAUGAAACA
rnacentral:ncRNA from 1 species